GAUGAACGCUGGCGGCGUGCCUAAUACAUGCAAGUCGAGCGAACAGGCGAGGAGCUUGCUCCUCUGACGUUAGCGGCGGACGGGUGAGUAACACGUGGAUAACCUACCUAUAAGACUGGGAUAACUUCGGGAAACCGGAGCUAAUACCGGAUAAUAUAUUGAACCGCAUGGUUCAAUAGUGAAAGACGGUUUUGCUGUCACUUAUAGAUGGAUCCGCGCCGCAUUAGCUAGUUGGUAAGGUAACGGCUUACCAAGGCAACGAGGCGUAGCAGACCUGAGAGGGUGAUCGGCCACACUGGAACUGAGACACGGUCCAGACUCCUACGGGAGGCAGCAGUAGGGAAUCUUCCGCAAUGGGCGAAAGACUGACGGAGCAACGCCGCGUGAGUGAUGAAGGUCUUCGGAUCGUAAAACUCUGUUAUUAGGGAAGAACAAAUGUGUAAGUAACUAUGCACGUCUUGACGGUACCUAAUCAGAAAGCCACGGCUAACUACGUG
rnacentral:rRNA from 1 species